rnacentral:piRNA from 1 species
UGAACACGGCUUAAAAGAG